CUAAGAGAUAUUAAGAAUUUGGUGGAAGUUACUAUUAUUACCACAUUCACUUCACAGAUGAAGAAAUCAACCAAGUCUAUAUCUUUCAGACACAAAUACAAAAUCUCAAGAAGGAAAAAGGCCUCUGUCACUCAAUUCUACCCUCUUACCACUUUUGGAAAAUAAAGCAGCCCACUAAUGAUUCUA